rnacentral:lncRNA from 1 species
UGUCAAGCACCCCAAUUUCCUCCAUCUGUAAAUGGGGAUGCAGAAGGACGUCACUCAUAGAGUCAUCAAAAGGAUUGAAAAGGGUGAUGUUUGUAGAGCACUUGGCAGGUCCCUGGUCCAUUUAAUCUUUGAAAAUCCCUGUCACGCCAUGUAGAGAGGUUCUGAGCACCUGUUCCGGCCACAGUCUGGGGGAGUUUAGGUAAAAAGGAUCCAGUCCCAACUAUCAUCCAAUCUGGGAGACAGGUAUAAAUAGUCAGUGUGGCCCGUCCUGUGACAGCUCCACAGCCAGACCAGCCGGCUAGUAGGGCCCUACUAUGGUAAUGCCCUGCUGAGGGCAGGGCAAUGGGUGAUCGGGACGGGGCACCUCGCUGCCUCCCCAUACGUGAGAUGGGCAUGAGCGUCAUGUCAGCAGCGCCAAGGCUGUCGUGAGGGCUGGAAUGGGGCUUUGGAAACUAUAAAGGGCUGAGCGAAUGUGCACCUCCCUCUGUGUCCCGGCUCAGGAUAGCCAAGGCACCUAUCUGUUCCCAUGUAGACCUGGAGACGGGGAGGAAGGUGUGGAAAUCUGGGGGUGGGCAGGGUCUCUACUGAGACCCCAAAGGCAUGAACCACUAACUACCCCAAUCUCAGCUCCUCCGAGUUUCCCAAGGGCAGGUAUGGGAAAACAUGCUUGGAGGCACCCGUGGGAGUGGGGGAACCGGGCACCCACCACGUGGGCAGGGGACUCCUGAGCAGUGUGCGUGCCAUCUCCAGGCGGGCUGUGGACGGUGAGUGGCCAGGCCACUUUGGACCUGCAGGGUGGCCUUGGAGAGGCCAAGGAUGGGGUGGAGGAAGGCUACUCCCAGCUCUCCAAGGCCCGGGUUGGGGGCGCUGCUGGGGCCACGGAAGAGUAGUGAUGGGACAGCGAUGGGGCAGCGACCGGCUGUGGGGCUCUGGGCGCACCGCCACCGGAGUGGGACGCCCCUGGCGGUGGAGCCGGACUCUGGAGUCCCCGGAAUAGGGUGUGGAUGGACCCCAGCUCCCCAGCACCCGCCGCUCAAGUCUCCCCUGCGGCCCGGAGGCCCCGGGGGCUGCACCAGCACCAGAGCAAGUCCGAGGGCUGGACGGGGCUCCAUGACACAGAAGCCACAGGAGGUGCAAGUGCAAGGACACGCCCCCCCCCCCCUCACAUUGACAGGUAGGGAGGAUGCCAGCCCUGCUGUGGCACCCACAACCCCAGGCACGGGCCGGCCCAGCGAGGAAAGCUUGCACAGCCUUCUCAGUUGGGGUCACAGAACCCCACUUCCACUCACCCCUGACCUGGGCACCCAAGUCCCUUCCCCCGUGUCUAAGUCCAAACAUGUCUCCUGACCCCUUUGAAUAGUGCAGGCCUGCAGGCCACCGGCUCCUGGACACUGCCAGGAGUGAAAUAGCUCUUCCAGCCCAGGGCACCCCAGCUGCCAGGACCCAGGCCAACCGGGCCCUGAAGCCAGGAGCACCAGCUGGCACUGCUGCUACUUCAUGUCAGAGGCCUGCCCUGGGAUGGGGUUGAGGCUCGCAAGUGGCCGAGUGAGCAGUGUGGAGAUGGGAGCUGGCCUUCUCAGAGGGAGGACUCACCUGGCCCCGGAGCACCACUCUGGGGGUCUGAGUCCUGGGUAUGCAGCUGAGACCCUGAUGGGGAGGGCCCCUGCUCUCAUGGGGUGCCCAUCCUCAUGGGGCAGACAAUAAGCAAAUAAAUACACUUUUAAAAAAUCAAGUGAGCAAGAGAUGGCUCAGAGAGUAAGGAGAGCAGUCACCGGAGUACCGAGGAGCAGCUGCUGUAUGUUAUGUAUCAUCCGGGAGGCUUCCUGGAGGAGGUGAAUGGGAAGCCCAGACCUGAAUGGCGUGGGGGAGAAACAUUGUCCUAAUAUGGUCAGAAGGGCAUGGAAAUGGGCAACGGAAGCCUAUGAAUUGUGACAAAUCCCAUUAAAAUAAAUGGGGGGGGGGAGAAGGACUUGGGGAAGAGGGUGAGGGUCCCCCCAGGCUUGGGAAGCAAGUCUGAGUGGGCCUUUGAGCUGGGCAGGGCUCUGGGACCCCCGCCCAGGCUGGUCACCUCUUGCAGAGCUAGUUCACAGGGUGUCUGAAGACUGCACCUGGCAGGGUGGGAAACCCCAGGGCUAGUUUUCUCCCUCCUGAUGGUUACUCAGCUCAUUGUACUUUACAUAUUGUGGAUUUUUGUUUGUGUGUGGUAUUUGGGUCAAUCCAGAGUUUCAUUUCUGUCUUUGGGUUUGUUUAAAAAGCUCAGUUCAAGGGGCGCCUGGGUGGCUUAGUCCAUUGAGUGUCCAGAUCUUGGUUUUGGCUCAGGUCAUGAUCUCAGGGUCAUGGGAUCGACACCAGUGUUGGGCUCCCCGCUCGGCACAGAGUCUGCUUGAGAUUCUCUCUCUCCCUCCCCCUCAUCCCUCCCCCUGCUCACUCUCUCUCUCUCUCAAAUAAAUAAAUCUUAAAAAAAAAAAAAAAAGCUUACUUAAAAAAAAUUGAAAAGGAGAUUCAUUCACAAAAUUACUCCAAGGUUCCUACCAUGUGCUUCCAAUUUCCAAUGAGGGGUGACUUUAAGUGGCCCCCCAUCCCUUCCCGUGACUCUGUCUACAGGGCAAGCAGGGCAGGGAGUGUGAAAGCUAUGACAGGUGGCGUGGUCCGUGGAGAAGCCCGCUCACCAGCGCAGGGGCAGGUGCAGCUCCCAGGUCUUGGCUUCCUCUCAGUCCUGACAACUGUCACCCUGCAUUUCCUAAUCUGGAGUUGGCACUUCGUGGGAUUUGCCUGCCAUGCCAGAAGUCUGGGGACAUUCAGCAGCCAAAUCCCCGAUGGGUGGCUUUCAAGUGGACUCUCAGGGCUCCCCAUGGUUGGUUGUCUCCUCUCUUCAUUUUGAACCAGUUGUGCAUGGGCUACAGAGUGGUGCCAAGCGCCAAAGCGGAAAAAUAACAAAUAGCAUGCUGCUUCGAAACCCACGACUGUCCUUUCCCCAUCAACAACAUGCUUUUCCUCCCUUUGCUCACCUUCUUCACUGAACUGGGCCUUUUUCUUUCUUUCUUUCUUUCUUUCUUUCUUUCUUUCUUUCUUUCUUUCUUUCUUUCUUUCUUUCUUUCUUUUUUUUCUUGAACUUUUUGUUUUGGAAUUAUUUCAGAUUUUUUUUUUAAGUUGCAAAGAUAGUAAGAAUUCUCGCAGACCCUUCACCCAGCUCCCCUGAUGUUAACAUCCUGCAGAAACAUACGGUCGAAAGUGCUCUUUGCCUUUUGAAGUGAGAGCUGCUCUUGUACAAAAUGAGAUGAAGGGGGCGCCUGGGUGGCUCCAUGGAUGAGUGCCUGCCUUCGGCUCAAGUCGUGAUCCUGGGGUCCUGGGAUCGAGGCCUGCAUUGGGCUCCCCACAGGGGGGGAGCCUGCUUCUCCCUCUGCCUGUGUGUCUCAUGAAUAAAUAAAUAAAAUCUUAAAAAAAAAAAUGAGAUCAGGCCCCUGCUCCAAAGUUUACAGUUCUGUCCCCUCCCUGCUGGGUCC